AAUUACUUACAGCCAUUUAUUUUUCAGAUAAAUAGCUUCUUAACCCCAAUUUCCAUUUUUUUAGACCUCAAAUCAGGUGGGACUACCCGCUGAACUUAAGCAUAUCAAUAAGCGGAGGAAAAGAAACUAACAAGGAUUCCCCUAGUAACGGCGAGUGAAGAGGGAAAAGCCCAAAUUUGUAAUCUGGCACUUUUUAGAGUCCGAGUUGUAAUUUUAA
rnacentral:rRNA from 1 species